rnacentral:rRNA from 1 species
CACGGAUCCAGAGUUUGAUCAUGGCUCAGGAUGAACGCUGACAGAAUGCUUAACACAUGCAAGUCGACUCGAGUCUUCGGACUUGGGUGGCGCACGGGUGAGUAACGCGUAAAGAACUUGCCUCUUAGACCGGGACAACAUCUGGAAACGGAUGCUAAUACCGGAUAUUAUGGUUUUUUCGCAUGGAGGAAUCAUGAAAGCUAGAUGCGCUAAGAGAGAGCUUUGCGUCCCAUUAGCUAGUUGGUGAGGUAACGGCCCACCAAGGCAAUGAUGGGUAGCCGGCCUGAGAGGGUGAACGGCCACAAGGGGACUGAGACACGGCCCUUACUCCUACGGGAGGCAGCAGUGGGGAAUAUUGGACAAUGGACCACAAGUCUGAUCCAGCAAUUCUGUGUGCACGAUGACGUUUUUCGGAAUGUAAAGUGCUUUCAGUCGGGAAGAAGUCAGUGACGGUACCGACAGAAGAAGCGACGGCUAAAUACGUGCCAGCAGCCGCGGUAAUACGUAUGUCGCAAGCGUUAUCCGGAUUUAUUGGGCGUAAAGCGCGUCUAGGCGGCAAGGAAAGUCUGAUGUGAAAAUGCGGAGCUCAACUCCGUAUGGCGUUGGAAACUGCCUUACUAGAGUACUGGAGAGGUAGGCGGAACUACAAGUGUAGAGGUGAAAUUCGUAGAUAUUUGUAGGAAUGCCGAUGGGGAAGCCAGCCUACUGGACAGAUACUGACGCUAAAGCGCGAAAGCGUGGGUAGCAAACAGGAUUAGAUACCCUGGUAGUCCACGCUGUAAACGAUGAUUACUAGGUGUUGGGGGUCAAACCUCAGCGCCCAAGCUAACGCGAUAAGUAAUCCGCCUGGGGAGUACGUACGCAAGUAUGAAACUCAAAGGAAUUGACGGGGACCCGCACAAGCGGUGGAGCAUGUGGUUUAAUUCGAUGAUACGCGAGGAACCUUACCCGGGCUUAAAUUGCGCUGGCUUUUACCGGAAACGGUAUUUUCUUCGGACCAGCGUGAAGGUGCUGCAUGGUUGUCGUCAGCUCGUGCCGUGAGGUGUCGGCUUAAGUGCCAUAACGAGCGCAACCCUUAUCUUUAGUUACUAACAGUUUUGCUGAGGACUCUAAAGAGACUGCCGUCGUAAGAUGCGAGGAAGGUGGGGAUGACGUCAAAUCAGCACGGCCCUUACGUCCGGGGCUACACACGUGUUACAAUGGGGAGCACAGCAGGUUGCUACACGGCGACGUGAUGCCAAUCCGUAAAACUCCUCUCAGUUCGGAUCGAAGUCUGCAACCCGACUUCGUGAAGCUGGAUUCGCUAGUAAUCGCGCAUCAGCCACGGCGCGGUGAAUACGUUCCCGGGCCUUGUACACACCGCCCGUCAAGCCAUGGGAGCUGGGGGUACCUGAAGUACGUGACCGCGAGGAGCGUCCGAGGGUAAGACCGGUGACUGGGGCUAAGUCGUAA